CUGAGUGAUUUUUUUCAUUUGAUUAUUUGCAGAAUAUGUUCUUUUGCCAUAGGGAAUAUGUGGCUGCUUAGCUUACUGAAGAGAGGUAGCAGCAAGUACAGAACCUUCUCCUGAGUGGAGAUCCUUGGAUAGGAUACUAGAGGAAUGAUUCCAGUUCAAGAUACAAUUUUGUCAUCUUAAUAUAAGCCUGUAAUGUGUAUUAUCCGCUUGUUCAGUUGUGGUUUUUGGUUAACAAGGGGAAGCAUCACAACAGAAAAAAAGAAACCUGAGUUACAACAAACUCUCUGAGAUUGACCCUGCUGGUUUUGAGGACUUGCCGAACCUACAGGAAGUGUACCUCAAUAAUAAUGAGUUGACAGCGGUACCAUCCCUGGGCGCUGCUUCAUCACAUGUCGUCUCUCUCUUUCUG
rnacentral:sRNA from 1 species